rnacentral:rRNA from 1 species
UACGGGGGGGGCAAGCGUUGCUCGGAAUUACUGGGCGUAAAGGGCUCGUAGGCGGCCAACUAAGUCAGACGUGAAAUCCCUCGGCUUAACCGGGGAACUGCGUCUGAUACUGGAUGGCUGGAGUGUGGGAGAGGGAUGCGGAAUUCCAGGUGUAGCGGUGAAAUGCGUAGAUAUCUGGAGGAACACCGGUGGCGAAGGCGGCAUCCUGGACCAACACUGACGCUGAGGAGCGAAAGCCAGGGGAGCAAACGGG